AUCUGUGACCUUGAGAAUUGAUAUUAUUGAAUUGUGUUGUAUUAAGUGAAGAUAUUGAAUUUUGUAUGAUGAAUUGAGAAACUGAAUAUAAUAAGUAAGUUGGAGAUCAAUAAUUGAAUAUAUAUAAACCACAAAGAGAGUAAGCGGGACAUGAAAUGAUAAGAAUAUGGAAGUAUUGUUGAAUUGAUAUUCAUAGAAUGGAUUAUGUGUUGAAUUAAGACGGAAGUAGUAAGCCUUAGUAUUUUGUAGUUUGAUAAUUGAUUUUAGAUAGCUAGACUACAGUCAAUUGUGACACUAACAGACCCAAUUCAUAUAACUAGUCUUUCCUCGUAUUCGAACCCACCUCUAUUAGU
rnacentral:lncRNA from 1 species